rnacentral:rRNA from 1 species
GCGGCAACAGCUCAAAUUUGAAAUCUGGUCCCCCCGCGGGGCCCGAGUUGUAAUUUGAAGGGAUGCUUCUGGCAAGGUGCCGUCCGAGUUCCCUGGAACGGGACGCCGCAGAGGGUGAGAGCCCCGUACGGUCGGACGCCGAGCCUCUGUGAAGCUCCUUCGACGAGUCGAGUAGUUUGGGAAUGCUGCUCAAAAUGGGAGGUAAACCCCUUCUAAAGCUAAAUACCGGCCAGAGACCGAUAGCGCACAAGUAGAGUGAUCGAAAGAUGAAAAGCACUUUGAAAAGAGAGUUAAAAAGCACGUGAAAUUGUUGAAAGGGAAGCGCUUGCGACCAGACUCGCGCCCGUCGGAUCAGCCGUCGCUCGUCGGCGGCGCACUCCGGCGGGCUCGGGCCAGCAUCAGUUCGCCUCGGGGGGAGAAAGGCGGCGGGAAUGUGGCUCUACGGAGUGUUAUAGCCCGCCGCGUAAUACCCCCGGGCGGACUGAGGACCGCGCGUAUGCAAGGAUGCUGGCGUAAUGGUCGUCAGCGACCCGUCUUGAAACACGG